rnacentral:lncRNA from 1 species
GAAUGCAAAGAGGGGAGAUAAUUCUAUCUUUGUUGAAUAUACUGCAAGCACCCUACAUUAAAAGAUUUAAGGUCCUAAUUUGCACUGAACCACUAGGAACCAAGAUAUGUGCAUUUUUCUUUCUAGGACAAUAUAGAGCAAUCCUAUCUAUAGUAAGAGGCAUCUUUCAAAAUUGCUGAUGCUGCAGCUAGCAAACAUAAAGAUGAGUGACCAAAUGACUUCAUAGACAUGGAUGAAGUAAUAUAUACGGGUGCUUCAAAGAGUUUCACUCACCCCUACAGCUGAGUGACUGUAAGAGGUAUACAGUUCUUCGAGCAAGGAAUUUGCAGAUGAAUUCUAUUCUCUAUGAGCAGCAUCACUUGCUCUUCUAAAUUCAAGAGAAACAGCAGAUGGUCCUAAC